rnacentral:rRNA from 1 species
AAGCGGAGGAAAAGAAACUAACAAGGAUUCCCCUAGUAACGGCGAGUGAACAGGGAAAAGCCCAGCACCGAAGCCUGUGACCAUUUGGUUACUAGGCAAUGUGGUGUUCAGGUCGUUCCGCGGAGGUACUGCUCCAUUCCAAGUCCAGCAAUGAGUCCGGUAAUGUUGACAUGGCCCGGAGAGGGUGAAAGGCCCGUUGGGGUGGAGGUGCAGUAAUGCCAGUGCCUUCCUGGAUAGACCUUGGAGUCGGGUUGUUUGUGAAUGCAGCCCAAAGUGGGUGGUAAACUCCAUCCAAGGCUAAAUACUAACACGAGUCCGAUAGCGAACAAGUACCGUGAGGGAAAGUUGAAAAGUACUUUGAAGAGAGAGUAAACAGUGCGUGAAACCGCUCAGAGGUAAACGGGUGGAGUUGAACUGUGAACUCUGUGGAUUUAGCCGGUGAGUGUGGUUUGAGCUUGGUCAAAUUGGUUGAUACUUGGGGUCUGCGAAGUAGCAGGUCUCCGCCAUCUGGUGGAGAUGCGCGAUACACUUAUCAAGUGUUGCGCGCCCCAUGGUUAUUCGGGCCAGCUCGCCGGUGCACUUUCGCAGAGUGGUCACCACGACCGGCAUCGCUGUCUGGCUGUUGUGGUUAAACCGGCCGCGCAUUGCCCUUGUGGCUUUGUUUGGUCGGGAUGGCAGGUAGCUCGUUGGCUGGCUUGUAGCUUGCUGCAGGCAUUCGGUCCUCGGGUGUAAUUCGCUGACCACAUCGGUUCUGUGCAGUAUGUCGGAGACGGCGGCUUGUGGUGUGUGCGUGCGUGCCAGUUGGCUGGCGUGUCCGAGUUUGGUUGUUAUCUUGCCUGUGUUCACAGGACUAAUGAUGGCUCGGAUUCGUUCGGUCGGCGGUUGCGUGCGUGUCACUUUUCCAGGGCCAAUAGUCUGUGGUGUUGCGGUAGACUAUCCACCUGACCCGUCUUGAAACACGGACCAAGGAGAGUAACAUGUGCGCGAGUCAUUGGGCGUAACGAAACCCAAAGGCGAAGUGAAAGUAAAGGUCUGGCUUGUCUGGACUGAGGUGAGAUCCUGUCGUUUCUCAUGCGCGGUAUCACCAAGCAUCGAGCGGCAGGCGCAUCACCGGCCCGUCCCAUGGUGUGGUGACCCUUUCAGAGUUUGUCACCGGGGCGGAGCAUGAGCGUACAUGUUGAGACCCGAAAGAUGGUGAACUAUGCUUGCGCAGGUUGAAGCCAGAGGAAACUCUGGUGGAGGACCGCAGCGAUUCUGACGUGCAAAUCGAUCGUC